CUGACCAUAGCUGUUGAUAGGACGUUAAACUAUGCUUAACCAAACUAAACCAAACCAUAUAUGCAACUAAUUAUGAAAUGCUUGAAAACUAUCAAAAUGAUCAUAUUAAACCUUCCUCGGCCGAGUUUAUAAUCAUAUAUGUCAACAAUAUUUUGUCAAGCCAAACCCGAGAAUUUAAAAAAGUGAUAUUUUUUUAACUUUUUCAUUCAUGUCCAUGUUAAUCUACCCAAAAAUCCAGUUGUUGUGCUUGUGAUGUUAUUAUUUAUUAUGUUGAACUUUUUCAGUCUUCCACAUGUCAUACGUAUCCCCUAAUGUUUACGGACUUGCGAUGCCCCCUUCAGUGCAUUGAAUGAUCUUUUUGCAGAUUUAUAAUUCCCACAGUCCUACCCUGUUUUAGGUUCGUUUUUCCUCAUUUUUUAUUCCCGUUGUAUUAUCAUCAGUGAACAAGGCUCAUUGAAACAAGUGGCGCCAAUGAAAUUUACACCUAUAGCGUGCGUUCUGUAUUGUGUUUUUGUAAAAUAGUGUGAGGUUACUGUCUAUACAUGUGUGUGAUUACGUAACUACUGUUUUGUAGGACACAAAAAAUACAUCAUUCAAUAGAAACACAUCUGUAAGAAGGUGAAUUCAAAGUAGUGUGGCGGAACACUCAAAUAUAUUUCUAAAGAAACCCCGUUGUAGCCAUUACCGGGGUUUCACAAUGGCAAAACAAUGUAGUGACAAGCUUCCCCCUAACUCCGUCAUAGUACUCAUGGCGAGGAAUAAGGAAGCUUUGGAAAGUGUCAAGUGUGAGGUGUCGUCUGUGGCUCUGGAUAUCAACAUUGUGAUGCGGCAAUAUGACCAGGGAAAUGCUGAAAACGGGGAUUAUUUUAAAGACAUCUUUAAUGAUCUUUUACUGGAAAAUAUCAUUUCUCAAAAUGACUUUAAGCAAUUCAUGAUCGUUCACAACUGUGCUACUCUCUGUGGUGUAACAAAGAUAUCAUUGGAACUUCUGACUCCACGUCAGUCCGGAAGUACUUCGACAUCAACCUGACCGGGAUGAUCCUACUUAACACGAGUUUCUUCCAGACAUUUUGCGAUUCUACAAAAUCUCGUGUCGUUGUAUGACGUCAGCAGUUAGCGUAACUCCCAUGCCAGCAUUGCAUCUCUACUGUGCAGAUGGAGCAAUACGUCACCACGGCUGAUCAUCACACCGAGAAAUUAUCAAAAUGGGAUGUCAGAAGGGGCAGGUAAACAUAAAUCCAGGUAAGGCUACCCGUGACAUGUAUAUGCGUGUACUGGCCGUAGAGGAGCCGUCUCUGAGGAUACUGACGUUCGCUCCAGGUGCCUCAGACACAGACAUGGCAAAACAGGUUGAGACGUUGACUGUGGAUAAGUUUGUUGCUGGUUGAUAAAACAAUAUCGAAUUGAUGGUGUGGUGACGCUUCCAGAUACCCCGAUCUCCAAGCUUGUCCAGGUACUGGAGGAAAACACGUUUGAAAACGCCGCUUACGUAGCCAAUUUUCCUUUCAUGAAAGGUUCUCACGAUCGUUUUUCAUGUUCUACAAAUUUGAUAUUACUAAAGAAAGUCAAAGAAUGCUCAGGUAUUCACAUUGGCAAUAAUGGGGAACGUUCUACAUGUAUGGUUUGUUAGAAAAUGAAACAUGCUGGCUCAGGCACAUAGUUCUUUUUCUAGUAACACUUAUUUACUAUUUACUAUUGCUGUCGUAUGCAGACCUGGUAGAUACGUAGAGGGUUCAGUAGUUAAUACAUCUUCAAGCAUCUUCUGAUUUUUCUGCUAUUACUGACGCAUCCUGCUUCUAGAUUAAUAUGUUCAAUCUUUAUUUAGAAGCCAUUAAAAACUAAUGACAUAUCUAAAAUGCAAUUGGCAAGAUAAACUGUUCUGGGGAUUCCAUGUAAUGUAAUAUAUUGACUAAAAGUAUUUGUUACCUAGUAGAGUAACAAAUCUUUACUCGAUAAGUCUAUAACCAAUCCUUGAGUCACCUUUGCUCCAAAUAUAGGGUUUUUACCAACGUCAACCUGAUACACAUCAACAAUAGUAUAGUAAUACGACUUCUCCUUAGACCUCUAUUUCCCCCUUUAUUUGAUAAUCAAGCAUGUAUACAUAACCAUUACAUUUCCAAAGUAAACAAAAUCCAACGCGUCAAUAAAAAGUAUUGAUGUCAGACGAUGACUUGCUUUAGAACCAAUAUUCCUGAUAAUUAAAUAACUAACAAAAAAGAUACUGAUGCUGGAAACCGAAAAAAACAAAACUUGGCCCAAUUUCAAUUUCAAUUUCAACAAAUUUUAUUGACAAUAUAAGCAAUAGUCAAUAGGAUCAGACAUCAGGCAUAGCCUAUCUAAGUCCUCUCCUUAAAGUGACAACAGGUGGUUAGAAACACAGACAUAUAUUUGUACAUUGAUAUGAUGUUUGGGAUAAGGGGAAGUAACUCCUUGAUGUAAACAGACUUGUUCAGUAUUCUUGAGAUAUAGUAACCCUUUCACUAGGGAUAUUUAAUUUGAGAUAUUUACUAGACUAUUAUCUUCAGUGAAUAGUAUCAAGUAUCUGACAAUGAGUUACUGGUAUUCAUAUAAGGUAAACUGUUGGGUAUAAAUAUUUGGUGAUAUUGGAUUUAUUCCCUCAACAGAUACAGGCCAUACAGUCCAUAUGUAUAACACACUAGCCAUCACACACUGUUAAGGAUCAAAAGCCAAUUUCAGCAAAUAGAUAUAUAAUUUGUAAGUAGGGCUACACCAACUCCUGUAAGUAAAGUAGUAAUUCUUUAAUUAAAUUGAAAGGAGUUACUCCAUAUCUUGAUGUAAGCUUAAAAAAGAAGAAGAAAAUAGAAAACAUAAAAAAAAACACAAAAAAACACAAAAAACACACACACAAAAAAGAAAGAAAAAACCCAUCUAGGCUGCCCAGAGCCAAUUUCAUUCAAUAGGUGUAUAUACCAGCUAAAUUAGUAAUUAUCAAAGGUAGAAUAAAGUAUCUAAUUAAUUCCAUAUUAUAUUACAUUAGAUAUAUCUUGUACUACUAUAUCAUUGUAGUUCACUGUGGGAGGUAUAAAGCUUUUAUACAUAUAACUUGAAAGAAAAUAAAAAGAA